ACCUGCCUUAUACUGGGGGAUAACAUUCUGAAAAGGAUGCUAAUACCGCAUAAGCGCACAGUGUCGCAUGACACAGUGUGAAAAACUCCGGUGGUAUAAGAUGGACCCGCGUCUGAUUAGCUAGUUGGUGAGAUAAUAGCUCACCAAGGCAACGAUCAGUAGCCGACCUGAGAGGGUGAUCGGCCACAUUGGGACUGAGACACGGCCCAAACUCCUACGGGAGGCAGCAGUGGGGAAUAUUGCACAAUGGGGGAAACCCUGAUGCAGCGACGCCGCGUGAAGGAUGAAGGUUUUCGGAUCGUAAACUUCUAUCAGCAGGGAAGAAAAUGACUGUACCUGACUAAGAAGCCCCGGCUAACUACGUGCCAGCAGCCGCGGUAAUACGUAGGGGGCAAGCGUUAUCCGGAAUUACUGGGUGUAAAGGGUGCGUAGGCGGUUUGCUAAGUUAGGUGUGAAAGCCCGGGGCUCAACCUCGGGACUGCACUUAAAACUGGCAAACUAGAAUACAGGAGAGGUAAGUGGAAUUCCUAGUGUAGCGGUGAAAUGCGUAGAUAUUAGGAGGAACACCAGUGGCGAAGGCGACUUACUGGACUGUUAUUGACGCUGAGGCACGAAAGCGUGGGGAGCGAACAGGAUUAGAUACCCUGGUAGUCCACGCCGUAAACGAU
rnacentral:rRNA from 1 species